GUGAGUCUCUGAUGUGGCAGCGGAUGUGGUUGGGCCUGUGAUAGUGUCACUUGUGUAGUUGCGUGGACAGAGUUGGCAGCGGAGUUGAUUGCAAGGAUGCAUUCCUGGCCUCUUUGCUGCAUUCCCAGGCCUGUCACCUGCUCAUCUGGCCUUCUCCCUUGUACGUCUUCCCUUCAGGCCGGACACCCCUGGGGAGUGCUGAACAAGGGGUACCCGCCCUGUGGGAAAGUCUAUUGAAGCAAUGAGAAGCCACCCGUCCUAUGUCUUCAGCUGGCCUUUAAAACUGCCUGGCCCACCCUAAGCCCAUUACACAGAACUCUGAAGAAGCUGUAGAUCCAGGGUCAGAGAAGAGAUCAACUUUGACUCCUAAGUUUUUGAGCUGAGAUAAGAACAUCUGUUUAGACCAGAAUUUGCAUGUAACAAGUUUC